GUAGGCUACGGAGACAUGUCACCAGAAACAGUAGGUGGGAAACUAGUUGGUUCUCUUUGCGCCAUUGCAGGUGUGUUAACCAUUUCUUUGCCUGUACCAGUCAUUGUAUCUAAC